UGGGGAGUGCCCCCUACUGGUCAGUGGCUGCAGUGCUACACAGUCAGGAUACAUCCUGAGUCCAUAGAAGCAAUGCACUCUAAGGGUAAUAAAGUGUCCCUAUUGCAAUAGGCUAUAGAAAGAUUGUCUUGAAAAAGCCGAAACGUCGACUGACACACUAUGAUGAAUCGUAUGAAAUAAAGAUGUUUUUCUACUGUCAUGUCCUAAAAAAAUGUUUUAUAUAUUCAAAAAGAGAUCUACUACACCUAAGGAAGGAAGUAGAGCACCAGCUCCACCACUUCCAGUGCC